ACCUACUUAAUCAUCAACACUAUUUAAUAUUAAUUGCGAUAACAUUUAAUCACAAACAAGUCAAUAUUGUGAUAAGACACGAUUGAAUAAUUAAUAAUCGAGUUGCAAUCCUCCUUUAAACCACUGUGGCAGUGAAACUAAUUUUCGCAAAUAAUAAAAACUAAACAUGGAAGCAUUUUUAAUAAUCAUUCUUAUUUCUCUAAUAGUAAACUUCUUCUUCGUGUUCGGUGCGAUACUCUACACCCUACUCAGGAAUGAAAAGGAGCCCAGUGUAGACCCAAGAGUUUCCACGACCCAUUCAACAACGGCAUCAAUUCACUGGCAAGACGCCUCGCGCCGCCACAGCAGUCAUCCCCAAGUGAUGCUGUACCACACCUUCGUUCGCCUGAGCAUUGCCUCUGACCACCACCGCCCGCAGAAGAACUCAUUCUGGCAAAAAUUUAAAUGUGGCAGUUCUAAUAAAGUCGCGGUAGCGCAGUGAAGAAACGUGGCAUUCUUUGUUUACUAUGUACUCGUACUUAGAUUGACAAUGUUUGGCUCAUUUCAGUUCGUUUGAUUACCAACUUCCAUGUCAUGAAUAUCGUUCACAUUAAUGUCGUUUGGAAAAUAUGUGAGAAGUAGAUACGCAUGCUCGUAGAAAAUAAAAUAAGCAAUUAAAAUAAUACUUAUUAAUUUGCGGAUAGCGGUUACUUUUGACAACAAAAGGAAAAAUUCUACUUUUAGAGUUAUGAUUGAAUAUUUUAAUUGAAUUGUAAUGAUACGUACUGAACUACAUAGUUUCUAUUCAUCAUUUAUGAUUAAUAAAUGAUGCAUUCAGGUAGGUACCUCAAUUGACUACCUAAGGGGAUCAAUCCUACUCAAAUGAAAUUUCCCAAAAUUCAGGAAAGUAUAAAUAAAUUUUACAAAUUGUAGUAAUUUUGAAAAAUAACAUAACCCUCCUCCUGGUGCAGUCGGGUAAAAAAGCAAAUAGACUGUAGGUACUUAAUAAUUAUUUAACUACUUAAUUUACUACUAAGAUACUUCAUCUUAAAUAACCUUUUCAGUUUUUGCCAGCAAUAAAACUAUUCGUUGCGUGUAUAACUAUUCGUUGCGUGUAUGACAUCUUUGCUCUUUUGUUGUAGGCACUACCUACUAGAAUAUUACAGAAGAAAAAUCUUUGAAUUUACCACAAUAAUUUUAUUGAAUUAGGUUUGUUACUUAGGCCUGAUCCCUGAGCGGCGCUAAACAUCUGUUUACUACAUACUUAGAUAGAGUCUAUCAGUCUUGAAGUUGAUGACCACUGACCACGUCUUGGCAAGGAUAUGAGGGUCAUUAAUAUGCUUACAGCAAGAGAGGUGACGAAGUGAUACUCGCAGGUCAAGUUAAUAUUCCGGUAAGUAUAUCUUAUUGUUUAAAAUCUUCCUAGGUCUCCCCAAUACAACGCAGAACGGGAUUGAUGGCGCACUUCUAACGACAGAAGACAGGAUAGGUAGCUUAUAUCCUUGGAUAGUAGUAAUAAAGACUUCUAUAAAUAAAACUAUUUAUAGUGUACCUAUUCUACUACUUACCUUCGAUGCAUACUAGGAAUACAUACGUCAUGUUGGAAGAUCUCAUUAAUACCUCCUACGAUCGUUGUUGUUUAAAAUUAGUGUCCGACCGAAUAUGGAAACGAAAACGAAGCUUCGGCUGCAGUCUCAUUUUCGGCCGAAAACGAAAACGAAAACGAAAAUGACCUUCAACUCUCAAAGAAGAACGGUCAUCUGUGACCCAGGCCCGACAGAAACGAGACAUGCCUCAGUUUUUUGUCAUGUCUUAAUUAGUAAAAUUAUAUAUUUUUUAUAUUCGAAAUCUAUGUAUAACGUAUAACACCGAAUUAUUACCCUUUGUUUUUGUUCAGGCGUCAUACAAAAACUAAUACAAAAUGCCUAUUUAUCACCAAAAUUGGUAAAUGUAUGUACUUACCUAAAUAGCUGCUAUGGAAUGUAUCUAGAUGACCUGGAGAUACAGCCGGAUUAUACAGGUUGGAAACGAGAAGUUACAAAAUCCAAAAAUUCAAUGUUACCUGCUUCCAUAAUCUGUAACCUAUUAUUGGCACCAUUUGAAAGUGCUCGUGAAGCACUUUCAGAAUCAGUAACUAGUUUUUUCGAUAUCUUGUAUAGUUUAGAAAUAAUCGAGUGAGAUCACUUAUGGUUCCAUAUGUAUAACCACCCUGUAUAAUCCGGCUGUAUCUCCAGGUCACCUAGAUACAUUCCAUAGCAGCUGUAAUAGACAUUUAGGUACAUACAUUUACCAAUUUUGGUGAUAAAUAGGCAUUUUGUAUUAGUUUUUGUAUAACGCCUGAACAAAAACAAAGGGUAAUAUUUUGGUGUUAUACAUAGAUUUCGAAUAUAAAAAAUAUAUAAUUUAACUAAUUAAGACAUGACAAAAAAACUGAGGUAUGUCUCGUUUCUGUCGGGUCUGGGUUUUUUUGUAUGGGGCAUGACCGUUCUUCUUUCAAUCUGAAAUUAUGUAAAAACUUUGAAAACCGUUAAUGUUUUGACCAAAAACAUAAUGACGUUUGACAGUUGAUUUUGAUAAGGAUUGAUUAAAGAAAACCGGCAUUAAAAUACAAAAAAAAUAAUCAUGAAUUCUUAGUAGAAUAUUGUAUCCGGUGUAUAUUGAAAUAUUGGGAAGUGAAGAAGAAAUAAAGGGUGUCCAGUGGGAAUUUUUCAACUUCAAAAAUGAAUAAAUCAAUAUUUUUUUUAUUAUUUAUUAAAAAUAAUGCAAACUGGAGUUUAACUAUGCGAAUUUAAUUUUUUAUAGGCAAUGUCUUAGAUGAUGCCCGUUUUACUAUAGGCACUCUCACAGCCGGACCCUUACAUUCGCAAGUAUGUGAGAGCAAAUCGCGCUAAUAAUUUUCCUGCAACUUCACGGCGGAUAUUUUCUUACAGAGCCUGAAUUAUUUAAGGAUUGUUUGCUGUAAACUAUUGACUUGAAAUAUCUCCACAAGAAAAAGUCGCAUGGUGUGAGAUCUGGUGACCGAGGCAGCUAGGGCAUGUCCCUGUACUUGCUGAUCAUUUAUUUGAAAAAAAAAAUAGUCCUCAGUGUCUCCAUCGAGUUAAUCUCCGUGUGUAGUGAGACACCUUCUUGCUGAAAUAGAGUUACGUAGUUGACCGGGAUGCAGUUGCAGUUGUGGUAUCAGACAUUCAUCGAUCAUUCGACAAUACAUUUCAAAUACUUAUUGCUCAACUGCGAACGCUCUGUAGGCUCCCGACCAGUGACUCAUGGCGUAUUUCAAAUCCGCAUUAGACUCUAUUUUGAAACAAUUAAACUUAAUGAAAACUUUUUGGUUUUAUUUGUAUUCAAUUUUGAACUUGGAAAAUUCUCGCUGGACACCCUUUACAACGUAACCUCACUUCACAACUUCAAAAGAGUGUGACAAUACCGCGUCCGUUCAAGUCUGAUUGGAAUCAUGAGUGCACCAGAUUCACUCUCGAAGAUAUCGGAACAAUAAACGUCACCAUCUUAUUCACGUAUUUCUGAUAUUCGGUUUGGCCGAAGCUUCGGCGGGUUUUUGGCCGAAAACGAAAAUAUGGCCGAAAGUCCAUUUUUCGGCCGAAAAUGGCCGAAAACGAAUAUUCGGUCGGUCACUAUUUAAAAUGCAAUUAUGAAGACUGUUUCCUCGAGCCUUCAAACAGAAGCAACUUACGUGAAUACUAAUAGAAAAGUAACUCAUUACAUUCGAAGGAAAACUCCGUGGUGGCUUUUUAGGGUUUCGCACCUACAACAAAAUAAAAAGGAACGCUUACUUAUAUCAGUUUGAUAAUACCUAUUAGGUCUACUCAAUGAGGGCUAUCGUUUUUAUACUCAACAGUUGGCACCCCUGGCGAUUGACAGGAUCUUACUCUACAGUGGCGCCAACUGGUGAGCGCUAAAACGAUAGCCCUCAUUACAAAGUUACGCUUGAAACUGUAGAAAGAAACACACCUUUCAGGCAACAAUAAAAAUAUGGUACCUAUCCCUUUAACUCUUUAGGUAUCUGCCGACUUUUUACUUCGCUUCUUAGUCUUUUGACAAUAACUAUAGGGAAAACUUAGGUAUUCCCAGAAUCAUAAUAUUUUUUUAAAAGGAAAAUUCGAAUUUGUUGAUUUGUACCUAAUACCUAAGUAAUCAAAUUUUUUUGGCAUUGGACUUAGGCAGUGGGGGAACGUGAAAUUGACCUGCAAGUUUAUUGGUUUCAUGCGACUAGGUAGGUACAGUCAAAAAGUGAAGUAAGAUAAGUAGAACGACUAAGGCUGGGUUGCACCAUUUUACUUUGACCUUAACUAACCUAUAACGAUAACCGGUGUUAUUUGUAUGGAGUUUGACAGAUUUUUUAAGUUUGUCAAAGUUAAAGUAAGAUGUUGCAACCCAGCCUACCACAUGCCAAACUUUUAUAAAGUAACCUAAAGUAGGUACAUACCACUAUGAGGCAAAGUUAGUCUCAAGAUGUAAUUUUACACAAUGAUAUUGACUGAUUUGAAGUAAAGUAGUGUCAAACAUACAUGAAACUCGUUUUACUCGUGAACUCUUUCAGUAUAAAACCUAAUUCAAGUAAAACACUUGUUUAAAUAGCAAGAAUAUGCUAAGUAUUGGCUACAGACGCAAACAUGUAAGUAUACUGACUAGUAAUACAAUCUACAUUACUAAGAAAAAAAACAACGGAUGGUGGACAAUAGGUAAACGGUGGGUACGUCAUUACGGGGCCGCUGGUUUCACGCAAUUUCGCAUUGAGUAACAGAUAUUUAGAUAGGACAUUAAAUUUAAAAUAUUGUUAUCAUAAUCUUCGGGUAAACACGAUAAACAUUGUGGGUCGACUUAUUACGCCGCUCAAAUAUGAACAAACAAUCACAUUUUUAUCAACGCGACUUACGUAUAAUAAAUCAAUCCUGAUAGGUUUAACGGUGCCUACUAGUAGGUACUUGUAUGCACAUACUUUUUACCUAGUACGUACCAAGGCAAGGUAGAAAUUUUAUGUUUAAGGAUAUGCUUUAUUCAUUGCAAAAGCCUUUUUAACUUCAAAAAAGGUAAUUAUGUAAUGUGAUGUUUUUCAUAAGUUGUAUGCUGGUCCCUGUUUAAAUGAGCUAUGAUUAGUCCCGGGUUGAUUCCAUUCAAAAUGUAUUAAAAUGUUUCAGUUAUAAAAUAAAAAAUAUAUCCAAGAAUUUUUGUUUUUGACGUAAGAUAGCCUGUUCUUCUGUGGUUGCGGAUUCCGGGUGAAGUGGUUUUUUUUCUAACUGGAUUUCGUUAUCUUCUGUGUUCCAAGCAGGUAAGUGGCUCUGACUGAUCAAUCAUAAAGAUUUGAUAAAAUGCUUAAUAUUGGAUAGAUCUCAGGAAAUCGCACAUAAUAUAGUGAAUAAUUUUCGAGUACUCUUUAUCAAUCUUAGAUAUGCGAUGAGAUGAUGUCCACCAGCAUUAUCUGUAAGUAGGUAUGUUUACCUAAUAAAGUAGGUACCUACUACAUUACGACGCAUACGCACUUGCGUGUAUUUUUCUAACUCUUUCACGUCAACAAGUUUUACUUAGCGUCCCGGAUGUAGGAAACAAAAGACGAAUUGUCAUGUCUUUAAAAUGAGAAAUUAAGUUCUCGAAACAACUAUAUCUUAAUUCACUCUUUUGGUUUUUUUUUUUGGGCACACUUAAUAGUCACUUUGUUGAGUCAGUUUAAGAUCACAAAAAUGGUAUCUAAUAUCGUACCAUUAUCAUAGCUGGGUAUGGCAAUAGGCCGUUGGCGAGUUCUUUUUACCUCCAAAAAUCAUCUCAUCUCUCAAUCAUCAUUUCAGCCAUAGGACGUCCACUGCUGAACAUAGGCCUCCCCCAAUGCUUUCCAUGUUGAUCGAUUGGUAGCGGCCUGCGUCUAGCGCUUCCCUGCUACCUUUUAUGAUGUCAUCAGUCCACCUUGUGGUUGGACGUCCCAUGCUGCGUCUUCCGGUACGCGGCCUCCAUUCUAGAACCUUGCUGCCCCAUCGGCCGUCAGUUCUGCGUACAAUGUGGCCUGCCCAUUGCCACUUCAGCUUGCUAAGCCAUCGGGCUAUGUCAGCGACUUUAGUUCGUUUACGGAUCUUCGUUUGCUGACGAUAUUGUGGUCAUGGCAGAAUCGUUGGAAGAUCUUAGCACAAUGCUCUUAUGAGACCUUAAUCGAGCCUCCCAACAGGUAGGCCUCCAAAAAUACUAGUAAGUAAUUAGGACCUACUUAAACUAUAUCCAGAUGUAGACGGGUAGGCAAUGCAUACCUAUAAUAUCUAAGUAUAUACGCGAUUCCAAGUUAUUUGCCUGGUUUAUUCAGUAGGUACCACUGGUUCACUGUUGACCACCCGACCUUAUGUAUAAUUAAAUAUAUUUAUUAUCAACUUACUAAAAUAAAAGAAAUCCUCGGGGGUAUUAUCUAUUACGAUAAUAGUAGUAAGUAGCAUUAAGAUGGAAUAGAUACCUAAUGAUGACUACGAUAGUGUAGUCAUCAUUAUCAUUCUAUUCCAUCUUCAUAUCUUUUUUAAACAACGCCGCUUCUAUUAUAUCAUUAAGUCAACGCUAACUGUCAUCGAAGUUUCAAUAAUAAAAAAAUAUAAACACGGCCACCGUCGCGACCCGGGCAUGUUGUAAGCAGUUCUCAUGCAGUUUUGUUUGGGCUUCAAGCGGCAACAGACCGUAGAUUGUUUGAAUUUUCUCUCAAUAAUUCGUUAUGACUUACGCAUUUAUAAUAGUGGUGUCCGUGGCGUUUACUGUAAAGAUACUAUUUUUAAGUUUCUCCAUGUAUUUUACACUGAAAAAUGACAAUGAAUCUCAAGUUACACAGAUCAGUGACAGCCAGAGUAAACAAAACAAGAAAUCCUUGGCAGUGUCUUGGAGGCAAAUUCAACGGAUGUUUAUUCGCAAAACAUUGCAUUUCAACUCCGAAACUAACAAACCAAGUUAUAGCAAUAAAAUUUGAUGCAUUUUACCUUAAGAAAAAGGUAUUUACCUCUUCAUAACUUGGACAACGUGAAUUUUUAUAUAAUUUCGCUGCAUAAUAAAUAUUUCCAACCAAUUUGUAUUUUUAUAAAUGGAUUUUGACUUCAAUAACGCAUAUUUUGUCUUAUUUUCAGUAGUUUCUUGCAUGAAUAAAUGACUAAUACAAAGUGACCAAAUUAAA